AGGAUGAACGCUGGCGGUCUGCUUAACACAUGCAAGUCGAACGGAGUACCUCGGUACUUAGUGGCGGACGGGUGAGUAACGCGUGAGAAUCUGCCCUUAGGUCGGGGACAACCAUUGGAAACGAUGGCUAAAUACCGGAUAAGCCGAGAGGUAAAAGAUUAAUUGCCUAGGGAAGAGCUCGCGUCUGAUUAGCUAGUUGGUGAGGUAAAGGCUCACCAAGGCAUCGAUCAGUAGCUGGUCUGAGAGGAUGAUCAGCCACACUGGGACUGAGACACGGCCCAGACUCCUACGGGAGGCAGCAGUGGGGAAUUUUCCGCAAUGGGCGAAAGCCUGACGGAGCAAGACCGCGUGAGGGAGGAAGGCUCUUGGGUUGUAAACCUCUUUUCUUGGGAAGAACAAAAUGACGGUACCCAAGGAAUCAGCAUCGGCUAACUCCGUGCCAGCAGCCGC
rnacentral:rRNA from 1 species